rnacentral:rRNA from 1 species
AUGGAGGCAACUCUGAUCCAGCCAUGCCGCGUGAAGGAAUAAGGCCCUAUGGGUUGUAAACUUCUUUUAGACGGGACAAAACCCCUUUACGUGUAAAGGGUUGAUGGUACUGUUAGAAUAAGCAUCGGCUAACUUCGUGCCAGCAGCCGCGGUAAUACGAAGGAUGCAAGCGUUAUCCGGAAUUAUUGGGUUUAAAGGGUGCGUAGGCGGACUAAUAAGUCAGUGGUGAAAGCCUGCAGCUUAACUGCAGAAGUGCCAUUGAUACUGUUAGUCUUGAGUACAGUUGAGGUAGGCGGAAUGUGUCAUGUAGCGGUGAAAUGCUUAGAUAUGACACAGAAGACCGAUUGCGAAGGCAGCUUGCUAAGCUGUAACUGACGCUGAGGCACGAAAGCGUGGGGAGCAAAC